CGCAAGCCUGACGGAGCAAGACCGCGUGCGGGAUGACGGCCUAAUGGUUGUAAACCGCUUUUCUCUGGGAAGAUGAUGACGGUACCAGAGGAAUCAGCCUCGGCUAACUCCGUGCCAGCAGCCGCGGUAAUACGGAGGAGGCAAGCGAUAUCCGGAAUUAUUGGGCGUAAAGCGUCCGUAGGUGGUUAUUCAAGUCUGCUGUCAAAGCGUGGGGCUUAACUCCAUAGAGGCAGUGGAAACUGAGUGACUAGAGUGCGGUAGGGGUCGAGGGAAUUCCCAGUGUAGCGGUGAAAUGCGUAGAUAUUGGGAAGAACACCAGUGGCGAAAGCGCUCGACUGGGCCUGCACUGACGCUGAGGGACGAAAGCUAGGGGAGCG
rnacentral:rRNA from 1 species